GAUGAACGCUGGCGGCGUGCCUAAUACAUGCAAGUCGAGCGAACGGACGAGAAGCUUGCUUCUCUGAUGUUAGCGGCGGACGGGUGAGUAACACGUGGAUAACCUACCUAUAAGACUGGGAUAACUUCGGGAAACCGGAGCUAAUACCGGAUAAUAUUUUGAACCGCAUGGUUCAAAAGUGAAAGACGGUCUUGCUGUCACUUAUAGAUGGAUCAGCGCUGCAUUAGCUAGUUGGUAAGGUAACGGCUUACCAAGGCAACGAUGCAUAGCCGACCCGAGAGGGUGAAUGGCCACACUGGAACUGAGACACGUCCCAGACUCCGACGGGGGGCAGCAGUAGGGAAUCUUCCGCAAUGCGCGAAAGCCUGACGGAGCAACGCCGCGUGAGGGAUGAAGGUCUUCGGAUCGUAAAACUCUGUUAUUAGGGAAGAACAUAUGUGUAAGUAACUGUGCACAUCUUGACGGUACCUAAUCAGAAAGCCACGGCUAACUACGUG
rnacentral:rRNA from 1 species